AGGGAAUCUUCCGCAAUGGACGAAAGUCUGACGGAGCAACGCCGCGUGAGUGAUGAAGGUUUUCGGAUCGUAAAACUCUGUUAUUAGGGAAGAACAAAUGUGUAAGUAACUGUGCACAUCUUGAUGGUACCUAAUCAGAAAGCCACGGCUAACUACGUGCCAGCAGCCGCGGUAAUACGUAGGUGGCAAGCGUUAUCCGGAAUUAUUGGGCGUAAAGCGCGCGUAGGCGGUUUCUUAAGUCUGAUGUGAAAGCCCACGGCUCAACCGUGGAGGGUCAUUGGAAACUGGGAAACUUGAGUACAGAAGAGGAAAGUGGAAUUCCAUGUGUAGCGGUGAAAUGCGCAGAGAUAUGGAGGAACACCAGUGGCGAAGGCGACUUUCUGGUCUGUAACUGACGCUGAUGUGCGAAAGCGUGGGGAUCAAACAGGAUUAGAUACCCUGGUAGUCCACGCCGUAAACGAUGAGUGCUAAGUGUUAGGGGGUUUCCGCCCCUUAGUGCUGCAGCUAACGCAUUAAGCACUCCGCCUGGGGAGUACGACCGCAAGGUUG
rnacentral:rRNA from 1 species